AUGCAUAGGCAAACCCUAGCGCCCACUUUCCCCUCCCCUCACUCGUUCUCUUCUUCGCAUCGCGCAGCCGCUCGCUACCGUCGCUGUUGCCAUGGCCAUCGGCUGCCCCGCGCCGCACCGCCGAGUCCCGGAGAACCCCCGACGUCCGCUGCUUCAUCCCCGACCACGCGUACGAGCCGGGAGCCGCCACACCGUCGGGAUCGAGUGCUUCUCCACGUUCGGCCCCGCCACUGCUUUGCCGUCGUCGUCGUCGAUCUACACCACCACGACCUCCCCGGCCUCCCCGACCACGCCGUCGCGCUCACAGUGAGGCCGUCCGCCGAUCCCCCCUUUUCCCCCUUCGAUUUGGACGCCGUAGGCCGCCAUCACCGUCGUGCCCGAACCCCUGCGUACGCGUGCGUGCGGCUGCCGCUCCUGCGCUGUUGGUGCCGCUGCUGUGCGCGCGCGUCCACCCAUAGCCUCGCCGCGGCUUGCUGCUGCUCGCCAACCACUGUGGCUGCUCGCUGCUUCACUGCUCUGCUCGCUGCACCUGCUGCUGCGCUGUUUCGGCUGCUGCUCCCGCCUCCCGGCCGUGCGCCCUCACCUGUUGCCGCUGGUACUGCUCCUUGCUACUAG
rnacentral:rRNA from 1 species